UACGUAGGGGGCAAGCGUUGUCCGGAUUUAUUGGGCGUAAAGAGCGUGUAGGCGGUUAGGUAGGUCCGUUGUGAAAACUCGAGGCUCAACCUCGAGACGCCGAUGGAAACCAUCUGACUAGAGUCCGGAAGAGGAGAGUGGAAUUCCUGGUGUAGCGGUGAAAUGCGCAGAUAUCAGGAGGAACACCAGUGGCGAAGGCGGCCGGCUGGGGGUGACCUGACGCUGAGGCGCGAAAGCGUGGGGAGCGAACCGG
rnacentral:rRNA from 1 species